UGAUAAACCGGAGGAAGGUGGGGAUGACGUCAAGUCAUCAUGGCCCUUACGAGCAGGGCUACACACGUGCUACAAUGGCGUAUACAAAGGGAAGCGACCUCGCGAGAGCAAGCGGACCUCAAAAAGUGCGUCGUAGUCCGGAUUGGAGUCUGCAACUCGACUCCAUGAAGUCGGAAUCGCUAGUAAUCGUAAAUCAGAAUGUUACGGUGAAUACGUUCCCGGGCCUUGUACACACCGCCCGUCACACCAUGGGAGUGGGUUGCAAAAGAAGUAGAUAGCUUUAACCUUCGGGAGGG
rnacentral:rRNA from 1 species